GUGUCAGCCGCCGCGGUAAGACGAACCGUGCGAACGUUGUUCGGAAUCACUGGGCUUAAAGGGCGCGUAGGCGGGCCAUCAAGUCCGGGGUGAAAUCUUUCGGCUUAACCGGAAAAUUGCCUUGGAUACUGGUGGUCUUGAGGGAAGUAGGGGUCUGCGGAACUUCCGGUGGAGCGGUGAAAUGUGUUGAUAUCGGAAGGAACGCCGGUGGCGAAAGCGGCGGACUGGGCUUCUUCUGACGCUGAGGCGCGAAAGCUAGGGGAGCAAACGGGAUUAGAUACCCUUGUAGUCC
rnacentral:rRNA from 1 species